rnacentral:rRNA from 1 species
GACGAAGGGGGUUAGCGUUGUUCGGAAUUACUGGGCGUAAAGCGCGUGUAGGUGGUUGUCGUAGUCAGGUGUGAAAGCCUUGAGCUCAACUCAAGAAAUGCACUUGAUACUGGGCAGCUAGAGGACCGGAGAGGAUAGUGGAAUUCCCAGUGUAGUGGUGAAAUACGUAGAGAUUGGGAAGAACACCAGUGGCGAAGGCGGCUAUCUGGACGGUUUCUGACACUAAGACUCGAAAGCGUGGGGAGCAAACAGG